rnacentral:rRNA from 1 species
CUUGCACGCUGGCGACAUGCCUUACACAUGCAAGUCGAACGGCAGCACGGGUGCUUGCACCUGGUGGCGAGUGGCGAACGGGUGAGUAAUACAUCGGAACAUGUCCUGUAGUGGGGGAUAGCCCGGCGAAAGCCGGAUUAAUACCGCAUACGAUCUACGGAUGAAAGCGGGGGACCUUCGGGCCUCGCGCUAUAGGGUUGGCCGAUGGCUGAUUAGCUAGUUGGUGGGGUAAAGGCCUACCAAGGCGACGAUCAGUAGCUGGUCUGAGAGGACGACCAGCCACACUGGGACUGAGACACGGCCCAGACUCCUACGGGAGGCAGCAGUGGGGAAUUUUGGACAAUGGGCGAAAGCCUGAUCCAGCAAUGCCGCGUGUGUGAAGAAGGCCUUCGGGUUGUAAAGCACUUUUGUCCGGAAAGAAAUCCUUGGCCCUAAUACGGUCGGGGGAUGACGGUACCGGAAGAAUAAGCACCGGCUAACUACGUG